GAAUAUUGGACAAUGGGGGCAACCCUGAUCCAGCCAUGCCGCGUGAGUGAAGAAGGCCCUCGGGUUGUAAAGCUCUUUUGUCCGGAAAGAAAAGCUUCGGGUUAAUACCCCGGGGUUCUGACGGUACCGGAAGAAUAAGCACCGGCUAACUUCGUGCCAGCAGCCGCGGUAAUACGAAGGGUGCAAGCGUUACUCGGAAUUACUGGGCGUAAAGCGUGCGUAGGUGGUUGUUUAAGUCUGAUGUGAAAGCCCUGGGCUCAACCUGGGAAUGGCGUUGGAAACUGGGCAGCUAGAGGGCGGUAGAGGGUAGUGGAAUUCCCGGUGUAGCAGUGAAAUGCGUAGAGAUCGGGAGGAACAUCUGUGGCGAAGGCGACUGCCUGGACCGAUACUGACGCUGAGGCGCGAAAGCGUGGGGAGCAAAC
rnacentral:rRNA from 1 species